rnacentral:lncRNA from 1 species
CACACCUGCUGCCACCACACCGCGCGCGAGAGAGAAAGGAAGCAGCUAGUCACCCGGCAGAGAUAUCGGCGGGCAAGGAGGGGCCUCGGCGAGCGCUUCCGGGUCACGCCACCACAGCGAGUCUGCGCGGUGCGUGCUUGCCGGCCGUCGCCGUGACGCACUUCCGCUUCCGGCAAGGAGGUUCUCGGACCCCAGCCUGCUGGCCCUGGGGCGCGGGGCGUCGUGGGGGUCGUUGUCGUUGAGGGUCGUUGCCGUGUGUGGCGUCUUAGCCUGGCCCCUGGGUUGUGCCCCACGGACGCAGUCGACCCCUCUGAGCGCCUCGGGAGCCCCGAAUAGCAGCUGGGAGAAGGGGCGAGGACUGAGCCUCGCUGCCCGCUGCCGGCCGGGCUAGAGAUACGGGCGUGCCCCCCAUUGUGCGCCUCCCGCCCUCCGGUCCCCUCACCCUGCGGCCACCUGGGGCGUGGGGCGGUGCUCCUGCCCGUGCACGUAGCCGCUGCGAGCGGAGGCCUGCUCACCUGGUGCCUGCUACUCACUCCCCCGGGCCGGUGGGCGAAGGACACCCGCAGGAACUCGGCAGAGGAGAAAUUCAGACGGCUCCCGAGGGUAGGAAAAGACCCCGGCCCACCGUGGAAUCUGAAACACCCGACCACUCUGCCAUCCCAUGUUUCACCAGUCAGACCCCCAGGGCAGGGCAGGGGAAGCAGAAUGCAAACUGGGGCACCGUUUCCCUGAAGCGUGUUGGCCGCGUUUGUCGUAGUGCUAGAGGUGCAUACCCUUGGACCCCGAAAACCCAUUCCUGGGAAUUUGCUCCAAGGAAGUAAAGAUGUUACAAAGAUGGACCCACGAAGUAUGGUCGUUGGUUAUGGGUGGGGUCUUGAGGAAGGCCUUGUUAGUAGCCUGAACCCUGUUGCCAGGAGAAGCUCCAAACCGGUAGACGGAGGGAGCAGCGCGGCCUAUGUUGGGGUCUUCUCUGGGCGGGGGACAUGAUCCUAGGAUGUAGAACUAGCCUCAGAAAACUUAAGACUCAGUGGCCAGGUGCGGUGGCUCAGGCCUGUAAUCCCAGCGCUUUGGGCGGAGGUGGGUGGAUCACCUGAGGUCAGGAGUUCGAGACCCGUCUGGCCAACAUGGUGAAACCCCAUCUCUACUAAAAAUACAAAAAAUUAGCUGGGCGUGGUGGCAGGCGCCUGUAGUCCCAGCUACUCGGAAGGCUGAGGCAGGAGAAUGGCGUGAACCCGGGAGGCGGAGCUUGUAGUGAGCUGAGAUCCCGCCACUGCACUCCAGCCUGGGCGACAGAGCAAGACUGCGUCUCAAAAAAAAAAAGUUUUUUUAUGUUUAAUUUUUUGGGUACAUAGUGGGUGUGUACAUUUAUGGGGCACAUGAGAUAUUUUCAUACCGGCAUGCAGUGCGUAGUAAUCACAUGGGGUAUAUGGAGCAUCCAUCACCUCAAGCAUUUAUCCUUUGCGUUACAAAUAAUCCAAUACUAUACUCUUUUAGUCAUUUUAAAAUGUGCAAUUAAAUCAUUAUUGACUGUAGACACCCUGUUGUGCUAUCAAACACUAGGUCUUAUUCUUUCUGUCUUUUUAUACCCAUUAACCAUCCCCAUUUGCCCCCCUCCUCCCACUGUUCUACCCUUCCCAGCCUCUGGUAACCAUCUUUCUACUGUCUGUCUCCACAAAUUCAAUUGUUUUAAUUUUUAGCUCCCACAAAUAAUAGUGCUGUGAUAAACAUCGUAGCACAUGUAUCUCUUCCUUUCUUUCUUUUUUUUUUGAG